UAUCUUCGGAUACGAGUACAGCGGCGGACGGGUGAGUAACGCGUAGGAAUCUACCUAGUAGAAGGGGAUAGCCCGGGGAAACCCGGAUUAAUACCGUAUACCUCCUUCGGGAGAAAGAAGGCCUCUCUUUGAAGCUUUCGCUACUAGAUGAGCCUGCGUAAGAUUAGCUUGUUGGUGAGGUAAAGGCUCACCAAGGCAACGAUCUUUAGCUGGUCUGAGAGGACGAUCAGCCACAUUGGGACUGAGACACGGCCCAGACUCCUACGGGAGGCAGCAGUGAGGAAUAUUGGACAAUGGGCGCAAGCCUGAUCCAGCCAUACCGCGUGUGUGAAGAAGGCCUUCGGGUUGUAAAGCACUUUAAGCAGGGAGAAAAAGUUAUAAGCUAAUACCUUAUAACCUUGAUGUUACCUGCAGAAUAAGCACCGGCUAAUUCCGUGCCAGCAGCCGCGGUAAUACGGAAGGUGCAAGCGUUAAUCGGAAUUACUGGGCGUAAAGCGCGCGUAGGUGGUUUGUUAAGCUGGAUGUGAAAGCCCUG
rnacentral:rRNA from 1 species